CAAAAAGUGUUAUGGGAGCUAAGCAGAAGCAGCAACUGCUUGAAAAAAGAUUUUACAGAAAAGGUGGUAUCUGAGAUGGAUCUUGAGUGAGGGACAGGAUUUCAUGAAGAGGCAUAACUAAGGAUUGGUGAACUGUAAGAAUUCCCCCAUAUGAAGGGAGAAGCACAGGGUGAAAAAGAGAAAAGAAGAAAGAUGGUUGGGGCCACAUUCUUUCAACAAAUACUGAACACCUAUCAAGUGCCCAGCACAGAACACUUACAGACCCUAAAGCCACCCCAAAAGUGAUAAGCAAGCUUCCGAAAAAGAUGUCUGCAGAAUACAAAUCCUCCACCGUAUCCUGUCCGUUGCAUCCCCUCCCACCUGCUACCACUUCUAUCCACUUUACCGAUAUGGUCACGAUGAGCGCUACAAAAUUGCUGCCAAAUAAGUGCACAUCAUGGAGACAAUCUGACUGGUACA
rnacentral:lncRNA from 1 species